UACGUAGGGUGCAAGCGUUAAUCGGAAUUACUGGGCGUAAAGCGUGCGCAGGCGGUGAUGUAAGACAGGUGUGAAAUCCCCGGGCUUAACCUGGGAACUGCAUUUGUGACUGCAUUGCUGGAGUGCGGCAGAGGGGGAUGGAAUUCCGCGUGUAGCAGUGAAAUGCGUAGAUAUGCGGAGGAACACCGAUGGCGAAGGCAGCCCCCUGGGCUAACACUGACGCUCAUGCACGAAAGCGUGGGGAGCAAACAGG
rnacentral:rRNA from 1 species